UGACUUUGGUCAAAGUCAAACCACUCUAAGUUUGACUAAUUUUAUAGAAAAAGGUAGUAAUAUUUUUAACCCAAGACAUAAUAUUGUGAAAAUUUAUUCAAUUACAAAUUUAAUGAAACUAUGUUGGUGUUGCAAAUAUUACUAUUUCUUUCUAUAGAAGUAGUCAAAUUUAGAGUAGUUUAACUUUGACCAAAGUCAA
rnacentral:pre_miRNA from 1 species